ensembl:lncRNA LINC00237 long intergenic non-protein coding RNA 237
GACCAGCUAACCGGACUGGGCUGCGCGCGGAGCCCCCUCUUCCCGUGCACAGUGCGGGGCGAGGCUUGGCGAGCGGUGGGUCUGCGCCUUCCCAAGGCCUGCCGGUCGCGACGUCCUUCUCCGCUCUCAGCACAGGCGCCAAGCCGGGAGUCAGGGCUUCCGGGUCCAGCUGCUGACAGAAGGAGGAGCGAGCUGCACUGGGGCUUCAGCACCGAGUCCAGAGGGAGAGAGAGGCGAGCGGGGUGAGCGGCCACCGGCGAGCUGGGGUUCGCUGCACACCCAUCACCACAGACAUUUCAAAAAGAAUCAAGCCUUUUGAAGUCUGCCAGAGCUGCGGUUUGUUAAUUGACACUGUUCAACUGAGUGACAAUUGUUCCGCUCAGUGGGGGCCAUCCACUCCCUUCCUCUCUCCCCCUCCUUUUUUUUUUUUUUUUUCUUAUAAAAUAGGAAUUAA